ACUCGUGGGCAGGAAGCAAGGGCGGACCCCGAGAGAUGACUGAUUGUGGGGGUGGGGACCGUCUGCUCCUCCUAAUGGCUGGGGACCGUGCACGUCUGCGCGGGCCGGACCUGCUCUUCUCGGGAACUUGCGCGGGAGGAGGCCCGGAGCUGCGCCGCUUUACCCUCUGCUCCCCGGUGCCUAAAACGCACACGCAUCAAAGUCACAGGACGAGUUAGAGGAAUAUACAAUAGAGUUUUCCAGAGGCUGCUGGAUGAGUCAUAUUGUAACAGAUGCAAUGGGAACAUGGAGCUAUGGGAACUCAACUGCCUUAAGUGAAGCCAGACAUUAAGGAGAUUUGAAAAAAUAUAAUACAAUGCCACUCUUCUCCCUAUUUCUGUUUUGGAAAAUGCUGUUUUUCGUAAAGUAGCGGUGUGAUGGCAUGAUCACAGCUCACUGCAACCACCGCCUCCCAAGCUCAAGUGAUCCUCCCACCUCAGCCUCCUGAGUAGCUAGGACUACAGGAGAAAGGCAGAGGGAGAUUUGAAACACAGAGGAGGUGAUGAGAAGACACAGCAGAAGAUAUCUGAAGACUGGAAAGAAUGCUGCAACCAACAGGAGAAGGAAAAGACAGAAAUGUGUUUUCCAUUUGGAGCAUCCAGAGGGAGCACAACCAUAUCAACACCUUGAUUUUGAUCCAGUGACAUUGAUUUUGGACUUGUGGCCUCCAGAACUUUUAGAGAAUAAAUUUGCAUUGUUUUAAGCCAACAGGUUGGUGGAAAUUUUUUACAGCAGCCACAGGAAGCAAACACAGACUCCUAACUGGUGCUUAGUCCUAGAAUAUCAGUUUCUGUUCCACUUCUGGAUCUCAUAAUUGCAUCUCAGACAUCAACACUGACUUCAUAUUCUUAAUGCACCAAUUCUACCAUUUCUUCAGGCUGCAAACAGAGAAAAACUUAUUUAAGCAUUCCAGAAUUGACCCAAUAGAAGACUCUCCAGAAAAGACUGCAUGGUCUCUGAAGCAGCAUGAUCAGCAUGACUGGCUGCAUCUGGGCUCCACCGUUUGCCACUUCAGACAGGUCCUUAGCCUCUUAGAGGUUCAUUUUCCUUGCUGUAGCCCGGAGUAAGAAUGUUUAGCCUACAAGAUUUAUUUUGAGGCAUCAAUGAAUCACUAUGUGAGCCUCACACAGUGUCUGGCACUGAUAUUACAAAAUAUGGUUGAUCUUGCCAUCCUUGUUAUUGUCCUGGUGGGGAUUCCUCUCUGUUGAAGAUACGGAGCCUCUAAAAAUGAGUGGCAGAGGCUCCCAGCUCAGGAUCCUUGUCCAGGUCCUAAAGAUCCUCCACUCUGCUUGUCACUCUGUUCAUUAUGUUUGCAUGGCCACCACGGUCAACACUACUGCGGCCUACCUCAAGUUCUCAUGCCUCACUCUCUGAGCUCAUGAGGACACAAGGAUCCUUUGGCAACACAUUAACUACACUCUGUGGCCAUCCCUUGACUUCUGAGAGGAUGUUUCCCUCCUCUCAAUCAAAAGCUCUCUUCCCUCCUGGGCAAGAUCCUUGCAUGCACCCAGCACCCUCACACCUGGUGCCCUCACACCCAGCACUCUCACACGUGGUGCCCUCACACCCAGCACCCUCACACCCAGCACCCUCACACCUGGUGCCCUCACACCCAGCACCCUCACACCUGGUGCCCUCACACCCAGCACCCUCACACCUGGUGCCCUCGCACCCAGCACCCUCACACCUGGUGCCCUCGCACCCAGCACCCUCACACCUGGUGCCCUCGCAACCAGCACCCUCACACCUGGUGCCCUCACACCCAGUGCCCUCACACCCAGCACUCUCACACUUGCACUGUCCUCAUCCCAACUCUGUGGUUCCUCUGGGGAAUCACUGUGGAAUCCCUCAUGGGAGGAUGUUUUCAAAAGAAACAACAGCCCAAUGAAGGGUAUUUGAGGAUGAGAAGCAGGAAAGAAGUCAGUGGGUGGCUGAGUUGUGUCCAGGUUUUGCGUGGCCAUGGAAAAUCAGGUGAAGGACAUUAAAUAUCUUGCAGUGGCUUCUCCAUUAGGAGCAUGAAAUGAGGAAAGGGGCUGUCCUCACAGGCCAGCCAAGAGGGAUGCCUAUGCCAAACAGAAAGACUGACAGUAAACAGAAUCCAGGAUGACAUGACUGAGGUAUGGUGUGCAGGGCAUGGCCCAGGGAGGAGGGUAGAUAAGUAAGCCUGGGUGCACCUUCAGAGGAAGAAAUAACAGAGGCUGCAGGCGAGAGAGUUACAAGGAAGGAGGAGCAGGAAGACACGAGAAAAAUUCAGAUAAACUCAACAUCUCCAGCCUGGGGGAAACGUGAGAGGGUGGUAUGAAGAUACACACGAUGCAUGUUGCUUAGUGAAAGCAGCCAGUCGGAAAAGGCUACGUAGUGAAUGACCCCAACUAUGACAUUCUGAAAAAGGCAAAACUAUGGAGACAGGAUAAAGAUCAGUGGUUGCCAGUGAGGCAGGAGAAUAGGGUCUGGGGGCAGGGAGCCUAAGGCUGAUUCAUGCUGACUUCAUGAACGGAAUCAAAAGGAAAACCCUAAAUUUCCAUGCCCACGUAACAAAAGGAUCAGAGGCUACUCCCUUUGCAACUCCCCCCAACUUUCUGUGUUGCAGAUGAAAAAUGGAAAGUGCCUCGGAUUGGUCCCCUCCUGCAACCAGUCAGACAUCUGCAUAGAGCGUAACUUUGUAACUUCACUUCAGCCUCUGCUUGGUCACCUUCCACAACCAAUCAGACUGGUCAUGGGCCACUAUUUCAUAGGGUGUAAACCAAGUGACCAAUGGGAAACAUCUAGAGGGUAUUUAAACCCCAGAAAAUUCUGCGACCAGUGCUUUUGAGCCUUGCUUGGGCCUGCUCCCACUCUGUGAAGUGCAUUUUUGUUUCAAUACAGCUAUGCUUUUGUUGCUUC
rnacentral:lncRNA from 1 species